UCAGAUAUCAUCCAAUGCCUUCAUGACCAGGCUUCACAGGAGACCUGCUGGUUGGAGGAGAAGUUUGGAAGAUACCAGAUGUGCACUUCACCUGUCAUCUGCCAAAACUGCAGUCUUGUACAUCAGGCAUCUUGGAAUCUCAGGACGGGGGAUAUCACCAUGAGUUUUGAGACUUUGUCUGCCGACCAUCUCCCAAGAAUGAGUAAUCAACAUCCUGCAUGCUUGGAGUCUUC
rnacentral:lncRNA from 1 species